rnacentral:rRNA from 1 species
UACGUAGGGUGCGAGCGUUGUCCGGAAUUACUGGGCGUAAAGAGCUCGUAGGUGGUUUCUUAAGUCAGAGGUGAAAGGCUACGGCUCAACCGUAGUAAGCCUUUGAAACUGGGGGACUUGAGUGCAGGAGAGAAGAGUGGAAUUCCACGUGUAGCGGUGAAAUGCGUAGAGAUAUGGAGGAACACCAGUGGCGAAGGCGGCUUCCUGGUCUGUAACUGACACUGAGGCGCGAAAGCGUGGGGAGCAAACAGGAUUAGAUACCCCUGUAGUCCCUGA